GACGAACGCUGGCGGCGUGCCUAAUACAUGCAAGUCGAGCGCAGGAAGCCGUCUGAACCCUUCGGGGGGACGACGGUGGAAUGAGCGGCGGACGGGUGAGUAACACGUAAAGAACCUGCCCACGGGUCUGGGAUAACCACGAGAAAUCGGGGCUAAUACCGGACGGGUCAUCGGACCGCAUGGUCCGAGGAUGAAAGGCGCUCCGGCGUCGCCCGUGGAAGGCUCUGCGGCGCAUUAGCUAGUUGGUGGGGUAACGGCCCACCAAGGCGACGAGGCAUAGCCGACCUGAGAGGGUGAUCGGCCACACUGGGACUGAGACACGGCCCAGACUCCUACGGGAGGCAGCAGUAGGGAAUCUUCCACAAUGGACGAAAGUCUGAUGGAGCAACGCCGCGUGAACGAUGAAGGCCCUCGGGUCGUAAAGUUCUGUUGUAAGGGAAGAACAAGUGCCGCAGGCAAUGGCGGCACCUUGACGGUACCUUGUGAGAAAGCCACGGCUAACUACGUGCCAGCCGCCGCAGUAAAAC
rnacentral:rRNA from 1 species